rnacentral:rRNA from 2 species
UACCGCGGUUAUACGAGAGACCCAAGUUGAUAGGCUCCGGCGUAAAGCGUGGUUAAGGAAUGAUAAAUACUAAAGCCGAACGCUUACUAGGCUGUUAUACGCUUUACGAAAGUAAGAAGUACAUCCACGAAGGUGGCUUUAUUUCACCUGAACCCACGAAAGCCAAGACACAAACUGGGAUUAGAUACCCCACUAUGCUUCGCCCUAAACAUUGAUAGCUUUAUACAACCCCUAUCCGCCUGGAAACUACGAGCAACAGCUUAAAACCCAAAGGACUUGGCGGUGCUUUAGACCCACCUAGAGGAGCCUGUUCUAUAACCGAUAACCCCCGUUUAACCUCACCUUUCCUUGUCAUUUCCGCCUAUAUACCGCCGUCGCCAGCUUACCCUGUGAAGGUCCCCUAGUAAGCACAAUUGGUACAACCCAAAACGUCAGGUCGAGGUGUAGCGUAUGGAGAGGGAAGAAAUGGGCUACAUUCCCUAUUACAGCGAAUCACGGAUAAUAUUACUGAAACGUGUAUCUAGAAGGAGGAUUUAGCAGUAAGCGGAAAGCAGAGCGUCCCGCUGAAACUGGCCCUGAAGCGCGCACACACCGCCCGUCACUCUCUCCAAGCAUUUCUUUUUAAUUUAACUUAAAACAUCACACCAGCAAAGGGGAGGCAAGUCGUAA